CCUACGGGCGGCAGCAGUAGGGAAUUUUCGGCAAUGGGGGGAACCCUGACCGAGCAACGCCGCGUGAACGAAGAAGUUAUUCUUAAUGUAAAGUUCUUUUAACAGGGAAGAAAGAGAAAUUUGACGGUACCUGACGAAUAAGCCCUGGCUAACUACGUGCCAGCAGCCGCGGUAAUACGUAGGGAGCGAGCGUUAUCCGGAAUUAUUGGGCGUAAAGGGUGCGUAGAUGGCAUAGUAAGUCUUUUGUAAAAAUGCUGGGCUCAACCCAGUAGGGCAAAAGAUACUGCAAAGUUAGAGUAUGACAGAGGGAAGUGGAACUACAUGUGUAGCGGUAAAAUGCGUAGAUAUAGGUAAGAACACCAGUGGCGAAGGCGGCUUGCUGGGUCGAUACUGACAUUGAGGCACGAAAGCGUGGGGAGCAAACAGGAUUAGAUACCCCAGUAGUC
rnacentral:rRNA from 1 species